GCAACCCAGUUUCUGAUUUUUUUCGUUUUGAUUUUAUUUGAUUUGAUUUGAUUUUAUUUUAUUUUAUUUUAUUUUAAUUUUCUUUUUUUGGGUUAUGCACUGCUUCUGAUGGCAGUAAAGAUUAGCAUCUACUGAUGGAUGCUAUAUGGUUAGACAUUUACUGAUGGAUGUCACUAACGGCGUUUACUGAUGAAUGCGACUGGGAUAGCAUCUACUGAGGGAUGCUAGAAGAUUUAGGUAUCUACUAAAGGAUACAGGAAGGUACACCUACUGAUGGGUGAAGGUAAGUUUUGCACCUACUGAUGGGUGCUAGAAAGGUUUAGGUCAAGCUCGUGAUGUUAAACAAGCGC
rnacentral:lncRNA from 1 species